AGGAGGAGGAGGUGGUGGAAGGAAAGCAGAGCAGAAAUACAUGGCCUGAAGAAACUGUGCCCUCCUGCAGUGACAAAACUCCUCUACCAAGAUGUCACCAUAUGAACAUACCCUGAAAGCACAGCUCUCCCUAGGACAAAUUCCUCAUGUGGCUGGACUUGUAAGAAUUAAUUUACACAAACAUCAAGAUUGAUGAUGUUCCUAGCUUCAUUGGAGGUAACACCAGAGAAAGUUCCCGGCUGGCAACUGUGAAUAUGGGCACUGCCAAGAACAUGGACAUGAACAGAAAGAAGGAGGUUUGAGAGUGUUGCUGCUGCUGCUGACUACACUGCUGCUUUUGGCCCUUGGUGUCAACUGAUGUGGACAGUUAUUUAGGAGGCAUGGUCACCAGUGGUCACUUAUAAGUGUACUUAUCCAAUAGCUUCUCCUGCUUAGACACUCAAUGCUUUUCUCAACAUUUGCUUCUGACUCUGCUUCCUUUACCUGUGCCUUUUCCUUUGGGAAGCAAUUUUCAGACUGUGAAUCAUUUGUUGACCCCUUCUGAGUUGUAUUGAAAUUUUAUGUACUGGUCUCAUAUUGUAUCACUUAGACCUACAUCUGUAAUUGAAAGAAGAAUUCAUUGAAGAGGGUUUUAGGCAGGAUGUACGCACAGUGCAGUUUUGCCUUGGGGGCACUAUGAAUUUGAAAUCUAUGACUCUGUCUAUUAAAUAGUAAAGGUUAUUGAUAAUUGUUCAUAAAUGUACUUAAUAUUUUAAAGACAUUAAAA
rnacentral:lncRNA from 1 species